UUUCGAUUAAAACUCACCUUUCUUCUUUUGGACGACUACAUUUGCAUUAAAUUUACUUAUUUCCCUGUCCUAAGUCAUGUUUAGGGAUACACAGUUGAACAUCCUUUUAUUUAUUUUAAACAAAAACUAAUCUUCAAUACUGAUUGAAAAUGUUGACAAUAAUUAAUGUAUCUCACUUUUUUAAGGUUUCCCAAAGCCAGAGCGAUGAGGAUGAAGUGGGAAAUUGCCCUAAGAAUGUUUUAGUGUCAGCAGUCUGCUGUGUUUUACUCUUCCUGGUCUGCUACUCCUCCUGUCUGUCUCACCUCACACCUGGCCCUCAUCUACAAUCAUGCUCACCUGGUCUUCAUCCCCAAUCAACCCCCUUCAUAAACCCUUGGAUUCCCUGCUGUCGGUGCCAGAUCGUACUACGCAGUACCGAGUUACCCGGAUCACUCACUCCAGCUUGCCCACCUCGCUCUUCCCCCGGCUCCCUCAUCCACUACCUGCUUCCCACCUUGUUCAAUAAACCCCUUUUUAUCCCUUCAACAUCGUAUCUGUCUGCUCUUGCUUCAGCAUCGUCUACCAUAUCAAAGAAGGGCAUUGUCCUGCCUCUGACAGGACACUGCUCUGCAGUGACCACUUCAGCAGUGAAGACUUUGACAGGACGGGGCAGACUGUCCGGCUUAAAGAUGGUGUUGUGCCAACCCUUUUCAACUUUCCAGCUCAUCUUCAAAGGUCGGUAGCAACAAGAAGCACAACCACUGUUAAAAGAGCGGAAGACAACCUGGCAACGGACUUGAUGCCUGAUGUGAGUAUUUGCAUGUGGAAUGUCACAAACUAAUUAGAGAAUCAUAUGCCUUGUUAUAUUAAAUCCUUUAUCUUGAUGGUACCCAGGUCUAUGAUGGUGUUUGUAGUCUAAGAGCCCAAUAUUAUUUGAGGUGGUACUCUGUGUAAAAAGUUUGAAAACCACUGGCUAUCUCACUUUCUCUGUCACUCAUACACUGGAAUGAAAAAACGUGUGUGAACAUUGAAACUACACCCAGGGGUAUGCAACCUUUAUAUUUUUGUCCAGAGCCACAAAACGCCUUAUAAUCUGAGAAGCCUGUACAAUUUCUUAAUAGUAUGCUGUUGUGUUUUCUGGUGGAGAAUUGGAGAACCUAAGAAUUCAUUCAGGCUCACAGAAUUCAAAAGUGAAGAUUGAAUUGU